rnacentral:rRNA from 1 species
UACGUAGGGGGCAAGCGUUGUUCGGAAUUACUGGGCGUAAAGAGUGCGUAGGCGGUUUUCUAAGUUUUGGUGUGAAAUCUCCCGGCUUAACUGGGAGGGUGCGCCGAAGACUGGAAGGCUUGAGUAUGGGAGAGGUAAGCGGAAUUCCUGGUGUAGCGGUGAAAUGCGUAGAUAUCAGGAGGAACACCGGUGGUGUAGACGGCUUUCUGGACCGUAACUGACGCUGAGACACGAAAGCGUGGGUAGCAAACAGG